GCCCCCGUUGUGUAGCGGCCUAGCACGUCGCCCUCUCAAGGCGGUAGCGCCGGUUCGAAUCCGGUCGGGGGUACAA
rnacentral:tRNA from 1 species